rnacentral:piRNA from 1 species
UGGCUGGCACCUCUCCUCUGCAGGGU